GACGAACGCUGGCGGCGUGCUUAACACAUGCAAGUCGAACGGAAAGGCCCUGCUUUUGUGGGGUGCUCGAGUGGCGAACGGGUGAGUAACACGUGAGUAACCUGCCCUUGACUUUGGGAUAACUUCAGGAAACUGGGGCUAAUACCGGAUAGGAGCUCCUGCUGCAUGGUGGGGGUUGGAAAGUUUCGGCGGUUGGGGAUGGACUCGCGGCUUAUCAGCUUGUUGGUGGGGUAGUGGCUUACCAAGGCUUUGACGGGUAGCCGGCCUGAGAGGGGGACCGGCCACAUUAGGACUGAGAUACGGCCCAGACUCCUACGGGAGGCAGCAGUGGGGAAUAUUGCACAAUGGGCGGAAGCCUGAUGCAGCAGCGCCGCGUGCGGGAUGACGGCCUUCGGGUUAUAAACCGCUUUCGCCUGUGACGAAGCGUGAGUGACGGUAAUGGGUAAAGAAGCACCGGCUAACUACGUG
rnacentral:rRNA from 1 species